AGGAGAAUACGCAAUUAGAGUGAUCCCCAGCUCAUCACAGGUGGCUUUCACACCUUUUUCCUCUGGAGCUCUGUAUAUCAGGCUGUAAUUUACCUGGUUGGAAGCCAGUGGAAUACCUCUCUUCUUAAGCUUCUCAUAAGAAUCACAGAGACGCCUUACAUUGAUGCCUUGGA